rnacentral:misc_RNA from 1 species
AGUCGUAACCAGGUUUCCGUAGGUGAACCUGCGGAAGGAUCAUUACCUAGAGUUGUAGGCUUUGCCUGCUAUCUCUUACCCAUGUCUUUGAGUACCUCGUUUCCUCGGCGGGUUCGCCGCCGAUUGGACAAUUUAAACCAUUUGGCAGUUGCAAAGUCAGCGACUGGAAAAAAUCAUAAUAGUUCAA